CAAAACGAGUGAUGUAUCAAAUUAAAGUGUAUUCAGUACUUUUUACAAUUCCAUCAUGAAAAGAUAUACGUCGCAACAAUGUUUACAAAUAUUCUAUUUUAUUAUCCGGUUGCAACUUUUCGAGCACUUUCGUCAGUUUAUGGUCGUAAUGAUCGCCCUCCCGUUCGAUCGCAGGUUUUCUUUGCAUAACAAUCAAGUGGCAAUAAGAUAAAGUUCCGGUCAAGGUUAAGAAAAUAUUGCUGUCGAAGAGCAAAAUUUUACUAUUUCAAGACGUUACCAAGAAGUGAGACCAUCUGACUACGUCGAACACAGCACGUAAAACAAUCGAAUUAUUGCGGCAAAAGUUGAACAACUCUAUUAUUUAAAAAAAAUUCCAUACUGAAUGGCCUCCAAUAAGCUGUGAAUUAUAAAACUUGAACUACUUCUUCUAGGGUUGCUUGAAGAUUUUU